UCGAUGAAGAAAUAUGCUGAUAAUUUGGUAUAUUCUGGAAGGUGUCAGUGCACGACUGACACAACUGGAGAGCAGAACCCGCCACCUUGAGAAUUCUGUGGAUGAUUUGAAACUGUCUGUUGAAAACAAUCAUGGAAGCACAGAUGGGAAAAUAAGGCACCUGGAGAACAUUUUGAGAGAGGUGCAAACAGGGGUGCAUCUUUUAAAGGAGAAGCAGGAAAUAGUUGAGAGUCAGCUGCAACUUACAAAGCUGCAAGUAUCUAAGGGAGGCCAGCAACAAUCAGAAACCCAAAACUCUGGGCACAUGGACACUGUGCAGCAAGCAGCAUCUGCCCCUCCACAAUCUCACCAGCAGCCCUGCCCCUCCACAUACUCACCAACAACUUCCUCCCAUCACUUUUCCACAAUCCAUUCCUUCUGUUCCUGUUUCUGUUCCUCCUCCUGCUGUCCCUCCACCACCUAUU
rnacentral:misc_RNA from 1 species